UACGAAGGGGGCUAGCGUUGCUCGGAAUCACUGGGCGUAAAGGGUGCGUAGGCGGGUCUUUAAGUCAGGGGUGAAAUCCUGGAGCUCAACUCCAGAACUGCCCUUUGAUACUGAAGAUCUUGAGUUCGGGGAGAGGUGAGUGGAACUGCGAGUGUAGAGGUGAAAUUCGUAGAUAUUCGCAAGAACACCAGUGGCGAAGGCGGCUCACUGGCCCGAUACUGACGCUGAGGCACGAAGC
rnacentral:rRNA from 1 species